rnacentral:rRNA from 1 species
ACGAACGCUGGCGGCGUGCUUAACACAUGCAAGUCGAACGGAAAGGCCCUGCUUUUGUGGGGUACUCGAGUGGCGAACGGGUGAGUAACACGUGAGUAACCUGCCCUUGACUUUGGGAUAACUUCAGGAAACUGGGGCUAAUACCGGAUAGGAGCUCCUGCUGCAUGGUGGGGGUUGGAAAGUUUCGGCGGUUGGGGAUGGACUCGCGGCUUAUCAGCUUGUUGGUGGGGUAGUGGCUUACCAAGGCUUUGACGGGUAGCCGGCCUGAGAGGGUGACCGGCCACAUUGGGACUGAGAUACGGCCCAGACUCCUACGGGAGGCAGCAGUGGGGAAUAUUGCACAAUGGGCGGAAGCCUGAUGCAGCAACGCCGCGUGCGGGAUGACGGCCUUCGGGCUGUAAACCGCUUUCGCCUGUGACGAAGCGUGAGUGACGGUAAUGGGUAAAGAAGCACCGGCUAACUACGUG